GUCCACGCCGUAAACGUUGGGCGCUAGGUGUGGGGCUCAUUCCACGAGUUCCGUGCCGCAGCUAACGCAUUAAGCGCCCCGCCUGGGGAGUACGGCCGCAAGGCUAAACUCAAAGGAAUUGACGGGGCCCGCACAAGUGGCGGAGCAUGUUGCUUAAUUCGAUGCAACGCGAAGAACCUUACCUAGGCUUGACAUGCACGGAAAUCUCGUAGAGAUACGGGGUCCGUAAGGGCCGUGCACAGGUGGUGCAUGGUUGUCGU
rnacentral:rRNA from 1 species